UACAGAGGGUGCAAGCGUUGUUCGGAAUGAUUGGGCGUAAAGCGUGCGCAGGCGGUUCGUUAAGACAGAUGUGAAAUCCCCGGGCUUAACCUGGGAACUGCAUUUGUGACUGGCGAGCUAGAGUAUGGCAGAGGGGGGUAGAAUUCCACGUGUAGCAGUGAAAUGCGUAGAGAUGUGGAGGAAUACCGAUGGCGAAGGCAGCCCCCUGGGCCAAUACUGACGCUCAUGCACGAAAGCGUGGGGAGCAAACAGG
rnacentral:rRNA from 1 species